UAUAUUAUAAUACUGGUUGAACGCCCUAACCUCAGCCUAAUAAUCAAUCCCUGAUGAGAUUGUUAAUCGAUGAACUAUUUAUAUUUCUUUAUAUGUUCAUUAUUUCUAUAAAGAGGCUUUCUACUGACUUUAUUUGCUUCCAACUACUUCAUGCCUAUUAUGGUAGUUUGGUUCUUUCGAAGCUUGAUGCAUAUUUUCUAUGGUAUUCAUUUGUUGGGAAC
rnacentral:lncRNA from 1 species